UCGAGUCCCUCUACCCCCAGAAUAAAAAUUAGUAUUUAUCUUGACAUAUA
rnacentral:tRNA from 1 species